rnacentral:tRNA from 1 species
GGGACAUUAGCUCAGUCGGUAGAGCACUUGACUUUUAAUCAAGGUGUCGGGGGUUCAAAUCCCCCAUGUCUCA